AGGGGUUGGAGCGGAGAACUUUCUAGAGACGCCGACUGCGGAGCCGGUUCGGCCUCUUGUUGAUCCUUCCCGGUACCUAGACAUCACUCCCAAGUCCCGGCCUGCCAGUCGCCCCCAACCCGCUCUGUGAAUUGCAGCCCGCAGCGGGAUUUGACCGAGCCGCUCAGCCGAAUGUGAGUGGCGCUUGCCCUCUUCCCAAUCCGGACCGCAAAUACCGACGGCGUGGCCUCAACUGUCUUUACCGGGCAUGGCCACUUGAUGAGUGGCAGAAAAAGGGACCAAGGUAGUGGACGGGUGGUGGGUGGGCCUGGACAGCGGCUACUCGGAUGCAUAGAAUUGGGAGAAGCAACCCUGAUCUCCCCAGGACCCGAAAGCUCCUGCCACGGCCAGAAGAUGUGCAGCUUUCAGCUCUUCAGAAGGCUAAGAGCUACCAAUUUGCAAGAAAUGACCAGUUGAGCUAAGGACUCUUAAAUGGGGCAUUUUAUUAAAGGAACUUUCCCCGACCACAAUAAAACGACCAGAUGGGUUAAUAUUAAAAACAAAAUGUUUUAAACUCAAGAAAGAAGCCAUUCUUUUUUACUAAAAGGUGCAUAGGAAGAAAUAUUUUCUUCUCAAUGCCUGUCCCCAGGUGUUUAUGGAGUGCCUUGGAGUUCAGAGUGUAUGUUUGGGUCAAAACUUUUUGCAGCGCCUAGUUACCUAUACAAUUUUGGUUUGACCGAAAGAUCUAUCCAGAGCGGGUUCUGAUUUUGCUGUGCUGUUAACCUCAGAACCUGGUGGGUGGUAGCAAAUGGAUAUUGACUCCAUGAAUUUUUAUUCCAAAAUAAUAAACUUUUUUAUUUGGGCA